AGUCCCAACUACUCUGUAGGCUGAGGCAGGAGGAUUUCUUGAGCCUGGGAGGUCAAAGUUACAGUGAGCCGUGAUCAUGCCACUGCACUUCAGCCUGAGUGGCAGAACAAGACCAUCUCAAAAAAAACAAAAAACAAAAAAGAGUCAGAAUGAGUAUAUUGCUAACCUCAAGGACCAACUGCAAGAGAUGAAGGCAAAAUCCAACUUGGAGAAUCGCUACAUGAAAACCAAUACCGAGCUGCAGAUUGCCCAGACCCAGAAAAAGUGUAACAGAACAGAGGAACUCUUGCUGGAAGAGAUUGAGUGAGAAAUACAGCAUCUAGAGAGCUGAACUUCGUUCAAACCUGAAUUUAUAGAGAUGAGAAGUCACGGUGAAAAAUAUCAGGAGGAAGAAAGAAGUGGUAGAUCUUCUUUGAGGGGAACGCUAAAUUACACACACGCACACACACA
rnacentral:sRNA from 1 species